AGCUCCAAUAGCGUAUGUUAAAGUUGUUGCGGCUAAAAAGCUCGUAGUUGGAUUUCUGUUGAGAACUGACGGUCCACACUUUGUGUGAGUAUUGUUUUGGUCUCGGCAUCCGCCUUUUUGACGUGUAUGCGCUUGAUUGCGUGUCGCGGACAGAGGGCCUUUUACUUUGAGGAAAUUAGAGUGUUCACGGCAGGCAGUCGCCCUGAAUAUAUUAGCAUGGAAUAAUAAUAUAGGAUCUUGGUUCUAUUUUGUUGGUUUCUAGGGCUAAGAU
rnacentral:rRNA from 1 species